rnacentral:lncRNA from 1 species
GAUGUAAGCAAAACUAGCUGAACCUGCUCACGAUGAGCAGGGAGAAGACCAAGGCUGCAUGUUAAUUACUCAGAAUCUAGGGUUUAGAAAUACCCUAGAUCCAGGGCAUACCCUCCACUGAAUAUAUCACUUUUUUUUUAGUGUAAACAAGAGGGAAAUCCUGAUGUAUCAAAACCAGGGCCAAGCAUAAACAGAUUCCAAAUAUAAGCAUGAAGAAGGUUAAGAAACCGUUAGGUAUGGAGUUCAGGAGUUAACACUAUACUAACGCUAAAAGCCUAAGAAAUUCAGAAGUAAAUCUUUGCGAUAUCAGUCUUUACAGAUCAACAAACCAUUGAUCUUCUGCAAACAACUUUAAGAUGUAAUUGUCUAAAUUAGUUGCAAGUAACUUGCAAGACACUUAAAGUCAUAAGUAAACUGUCAGUAAACUCACUCUUUCCAUCAUAUGUAGCAAACAUUCUGGUCAAAAGGAUCUGAAUAAACCAGUCCCGACAGGAUGGCUUCACUAGAGUGAACACCACCCCUCCAACCACGCGGAGGAUCCAUGUGGGGUGUGCCAUUCACCAGGCAAGAAAGGAAGCAGCUGAGAGAGGGGCCUGAUGAAUAAUUUAAAUCCCUGCUUUUUAUUUUUUUUCUCAAA